AUUUUUGUUUUCGUAGUAUGUUUGUUUGGCUAUUAAUUGCAGGCUUUUUUUGCCACGUUUUUAUUCAUUGGUUUAAGUAACAUGUAUUCUCCGAGAGGCAGCAAUGCUUAAGGUGCCCAAUCUGGCUAUGCUCAAUGUCUGGGAAUGACCUAUUCUGGGAGCUCUGUUGGGGGCUCUCAACAUUCAUUGGCCUCGAGGCAUUCAUCGAUUCUAGGUGGUCCUCAGGAGGCUGAUGUUGAUGGAUACAUAGAUUAUGCUUCAGCCACAUCACAUUUUGAGGGCAAUACAGAGCUGUUUAUGGCUCAGCUUCCAUGAGUGGUGCUCAACAGUCUGAUAUGAAAGCUGAGAAGGACUGCAGUGAGGAUCAACCAAAGAAUACUUCAGAUACCAUCAGUCCUGUAGUUACACAAGGUACCGGUAUCAAAACUACCAUAAAAAGGAAAAUAAUUAAGAAAGUAAUGAAAAGAAAGCUCAAUGGUUCAGGAGGAGCCAGUGGUGGGACCGGCCCCAGUUGCAGAGAAGCAAGCUAGGUGUGCCUAAUUCAGGCGAGAUGAAGGAUCUCAUGGAGGAUAAGAAGGAUGAAAAGGAAAUUGACCAGAAAAGCAGCUCAGGGACUAAAACUGAAGUUAAGGCUGAUAAGCAAAAGGUUGCCCUGAAGGAUAACGCUAAUAGUAAGGGAGGAAAGUUGAAGGGUUAUGGAAGAUUGAAGGAAGAUAACAAGGAAAAAGGUGAAAAAGAUGAGUCCUGGAACAAAUCAAAUAAAGAAGGAAAGGAAAAGAGGAAGCCUGAAGAACCUCCUAGACGCCCUGGACUUAUUUUGAAAACAAAAGGCAACAAGGAAGGAAAAAUAGGUUUUGAUUAUUGCUUGGCACAUAUUUAUGCUACUACCUGCUACAUUAAUUGCAAGUGUUGUCCAAAAAAAAGACCAAUAAUAUGAAACACUUUGCCUUCACUUAAUAUUAUUGCCUAAUGAUACAUUCUGUGCCACAGCUGUGCUCUUUAUCACUUUCCCUGGACGCACUUUUGGAUUACACUGGUAAGGAUGUUGAGGAAUCAAUAUUUGAGCUCUCACUGUUUGCUGAAUCACUAUAUGAGAUGCUUCAGUAUCAAAUGGGAUCUCGUCUUUUGAUGUUUCUCCAGAAGCUACAAAUAAAAUUCGUAAGAAAAAGAAAUCAAUGCAAGAGGCAGUGGGGGGCCAUGGAUGUGAAGGACGACAAGAAAUCAUUAGGAAGGCGCCUGAAGACUAGUGAGCUCUACCUCUGAAAGCUAAAUCUGCUAACAGUGAAAUGUCAAGUGCAGAUCAGCCGGAUGACGAAAAAACUGUCAUGGAGGAGGAUACUUCUGUUGAUCCUAUUAAUAAGCCGAAGCAGGAAGAAGAAAGUGAAGCUGAGGAAGACCCAGAGGAAGAUCCUGAAGAAUGUGAAGAAAUGGAGGAUCCUGAAGAAUAUGAACAAAUGGAUGGCCCUGGGCAUGACUCAUCUAACGAGAAAUGAUGAGAGGAGGAUCAGUGGGGAUGCUGAGCAUGAACCUCGGGCUGGUGAUGAAAGAGACAAAGACAGAGGAAGCAAUUGAGGACAAAACUGACUUGAAAGAUUCAGGUACAAAACCCAAGUCUGUUGCAGAUUUGUCUGGAAAAAAAAGAUGACAAGGUGGAGACAGAAGAAAGAGCUGUCUGGGAAGGAGGCUGUGAUUGAUAAGGAAUUAUUGGAGGCUUUCAGGUGUUUUGACUGGAAUCAAACUGGCUAAAUCAGGGUCGAAGACAUGAGGUUGAUUAUACACAGCUUGGGGACAUUUUUUCCUACACGGAAAUCAAGGAACUUGUGCAAAGUGCUUUGUUGGAGAGCAACACUGGGAGGGAUGACUGCAUUCUCUAUAAUAAGCUGGUCAGAAUGAAUCAUUUGAUAUUAUAGGUUUUCAGGUUGCCCUGGUCUGUACUGCAGUCACCCUGCUGUUACAAUGCACCUUUGCUCCUUCGAGAGUGCAUGUAACUGUAUUAGUUUUGAGGUCACCAUAUCUUACUGUCAACAGAAAUUAUUUAUAACUUUACUUUUGUAAUGGGGGAAAAAUAGAUUACAUUAUUUCUUGGUAAUGAAAAAGAAAAUGGCAGGUAUUGAUGAUAAUGAAGUAUUUUCAUAUGCCUAA